CCUUCUGCAGGUGACCUGGGUGAGACCCCCUGCCAGUGGGGUCUGAAGUGAGUGCUGAAGGGAGCGGGGAGCUCACGGUCUGGAGAAGAGUGGGUGUUGGGGCCUUCCGUCCCAGACAGCCCAUGGUGUUUCUGGAACUUACUGUAGCGGGGAAACGGGCUGUGUUUCUGCGUCUGGACGCUUGCAGACCGUGCU
rnacentral:lncRNA from 1 species